rnacentral:rRNA from 2 species
CAUCCUCCAAGGCUAAAUACUCCUGACUGACCGAUAGUGAACCAGUACCGUGAGGGAAAGGCGAAAAGAACCCCGGCGAGGGGAGUGAAAAAGAACCUGAAACCGUGUACGUACAAGCAGUGGGAGCCUCUUUUAUGGGGUGACUGCGUACCUUUUGUAUAAUGGGUCAGCGACUUAUAUUCUGUAGCAAGGUUAACCGAAUAGGGGAGCCGAAGGGAAACCGAGUCUUAACUGGGCGUUAAGUUGCAGGGUAUAGACCCGAAACC